rnacentral:misc_RNA from 1 species
UUCCACUAUAACCGGUGCGUUUUGUUGAGGGCGACAGGAGAUCUCGAACAGAGAACCGGCCAAUCAUCAGCCUCAGCAGAAGUCCUGAAGUAGACACUUUCUCCUUAUGGCUCUUCUUAAUUUUCCUUUCUAAAACCCUAAUAAAUUUCACCAAUUUCACAUCCUCAUUCCAAUUUUCCUUCCAAUUAAAGAAAUUGUGAUUCGAUUCCUAGGGUUCUCUUUGUUAGGUAUUUUCUUGAAUUAUUAAAAGCAACCAGUAGGGGGAAUCGUCGCGUGGCAAAAUGUUGGGUGGUUUGUACGGAGACCUCCCUCCCCCCUCGUCGGCGGAGGAGGAUAAAUCCGCUACCAACUCGUCCACGGUCUGGUCGAGCAGCACCUUGAUGGCGCCGCCGACCCUCCGCAAACCUUCCGUAGCGUUGGCGACGCCGCAAACCAUCCUAAAGUCCCAAAACAAGACGAAAGGCCAAAACUCUGCAUCCAAAAACAUAACGUCCCCAGCAGUGGCGCCGGUUCCCACUGUGCUGCCGGAAGAGCCUGCGCAACCGGCGCUCGUGGGGGUUACUUCUGUGGUAAUUGAGGAGUAUGAUCCAGCGAGGCCGAAUGAUUAUGAAGAGUAUAGGAGAGAGAAGAAGAGGAAAGCAUUUGAGGCCGAGAGAAUGAGGGAACUUGAGAGGAGGAGGCAAGAGGAGGAGGAGAGAGAAAGGAGGGAGAGGGAAGAGAGGGACAGGGAAAGAGAGAGGGACAGAAAUAUUUCAGGGGAAGAAGCUUGGAGGAGGCGCGCAGCGAUGAGUGGUGCUGUCCCAAGGUCGCCAUCACCCCCAAGUAACGGUGAGAGAUUUACUAUUGGGAAGUCGGAAACUGGUGGAUUGGGGGUUGGUGCAGGUGGACAAAUGACUGCUGCGCAAAGGAUGAUGGCAAAGAUGGGUUGGAAGGAGGGACAAGGUCUUGGGAAACAGGAGCAGGGGAUCACAACACCAUUGAUGGCAAAGAAGACUGAUCGUAGAGCUGGAGUGAUUGUGAAUGCUAGUGAGACAAAACCAGAGAAGAAGGUGAAGAGUGUGAAUUUCAAUGGACCACCUACUCGGGUUUUGAUGCUCAGGAACAUGGUGGGUCCUGGUGAGGUAGAUGAUGAGCUAGAAGAGGAGGUUGGAUCCGAGUGCUCGAAGUAUGGGACGGUUACUCGGGUUCUCAUAUUUGAGAUAACAGAGCCAAACUUCCCCCGUGAUGAGGCAGUCAGAAUAUUUGUACAGUUUGAGAGAUCAGAAGAAACAACAAAAGCAUUGAUCGAUCUCGAUGGUCGGUACUUUGGAGGUAAUGUGGUUCGUGCAACCUUCUAUGACGAGGAAAGGUUCAGUAAGAACGAAUUGGCUCCCAUGCCUGGUGAAAUCCCAGGUUUUUGACAGAUGCUUCAAUUCAAUAGCUUGCCAAAUUUUCUUUACUUGGGAUAAACUGAAACUUGGAAUGGACUCUUGUUUGGGUUCCCAGUUUAUCAAUGGGGAGAAGUCAACUGUGUUGUAAGUAAUUUAGGUUGGAGUUAAAAUUGUGCUUCUAACGAAAUUAACCAUUACUUUAAUGGUGAAUUGUUACUAUUUUAUGAACAAGAGAACAGCUUUUGCCCACCCUCUGCUCAUGAAUCAUGAAUUCCUUUUAUGGAUUCUUU